AGUGGUUGUGUUGGCCGAGCGGCUAAGGCGCCUGAUUCAAGCUCAGGUAUCGUAAAGAUGCGAGAGGUCGAAUCCUCUUAGCCACCA
rnacentral:tRNA from 1 species